rnacentral:rRNA from 11 species
CAGCUCCAAGAGUGUAUAUUAAAGUUGUUGCGGUUGAAAAGCUCGUAGUUGGAUUUAUGCUAUGCUGGUACAGUCGACCCCCUGGGUAGGACUUGUAUUGUUGCAUUGCACAUUGUAGAAUUUUUGUACGUUUUUCAGUAAAUGUGCAGAAUGCUGCUUAGUUACUUUGAGGAAAGUGGAGUGUCACACGCAGGUUGCGCCGUGAACAUGCUAGCAUGGCAUGACGCUGUAUGACUACGAGUCUUUUUGAAUGGUUUCGGGACACGUGGUAAUGAUUGAUAUGAGGUGUUGGGGAUACUCAUAUUUGACAGUUAGAGGUGAAAUUCUUGGAUUUGUCAAAGAUGAACAAAUGCAAUAGCAUUUAUCAUGGAUGUUUCAUUUGAUCAAGAACGAAAGUUAGGGGAUCGAAGACGAUCAGAUACCGUCCUAGUCUUAACCAUAAACUAUGCCAACUGGAAAUUGGAAUAUAUGGAGAGAAAAUACAUUCAGUAUUGUGCCUGAAAAGAGUAAGUGUGUGGGCUCCGGGGGGAGUAUAGUUGCAAGACUGAAACUU